CCCUAAACUUUCCUGAGUUCUUAAUUCUCUUAAACAUCUUAGACUAAAAAUAUUCAAUAAAGUGACAACAGAAAGUUACAAUGUAAUCAGCUAAACCUACACCUAAAAACUCAGGGCAGUAGAGGUUUUAGCCUUUAAUAUAGAUUUUAGCCUUUAACAUAUGCCUAUCUCUUUAUGAAUAAUCUUGCUGAUUCCCAAUGUUAACUAGAGGAAAAUUAUGCUCUUUGAUAGUAAUUGAAAGCAUCAAACUGGAGCUUAAUAUUCCUUUAAAACAAUAAAAUGAAGCAAUGAAACUAUCACAAGCCUCUAGAAUUCAAUUUGCAAGGCAUGGAUAUAUGUAGCCCUAAAACAAAUUGGAGGAGUGGGGGCUUUGCUAAAAAUGGGAUGGCUGUUAGGUCCAUAUUGUCUAAUUAGGAAAGAGGCAGAGGAGGUGCCAAGGAGUGGUAGCUGGUGGUAAUGACAAUGGUUUGGCAUAAAAUCCUGCAAACUAACUAAAGAAAGCUAGUCUGAGGAAAGACUAUUGUUUCAAACUUGAGAAGAAAUGACCAAACCCUACAUUACGCUUUUUGAAUACAGCUGAGAAAUGUCUCUUUUCCUUAUUUUCAAGAAGCAUUUACUAAGUAUCCAUAUUGGGAUGUUUCAGGCCUAUUGAUUUACUGCAUUACUACCAUCUUUCUACAGGUUGAUUCUCUAGGCUUCAAUAAUCAGAUGGCAAAAAUCCAAGUCACCAGGGUCACCAAACCCACAGAGCAUCAGUUAAGUUGGGAGGGCAAAUAGGUAGCGAGAGUAACAGAUGCUGAACUGCUUUCCCAGCCUGCAACACACAAUCAGAGCCAAACCCCCUGGAGCAUCUCCAUCUUGCUUCACAGAACGCAGCCCACAGGCACCAGCAAGCAACAGCAGUGGUAUCACAGUGACCUCUGGAGGAGGCCCAGCUGGGACGUGACGGCUGAGGCAGUAGCGUGUCAGGCAAAAAGGCAACAGCCAGGCUGUCCUGUUGCUAAGUCAUCUCAGACUGUCCAAAAAGCUAUGGGAGCACGUAGCACUGGAAGGCCCUGCAGCUAGAGCUGCAUCCGAGACCCCAGGACUCUGGAGAGCAAUCUCCAGAGGAAAAGCAGCAUCUGUUACUGUGCAUAAGGAAACAGCUCUGCUCACUGACUUGGCUGAUUUUUAAUGGGCUCAAUAUAGCCAUUUCGGAGUUUCAGGCAAAAACCUGACCAAAUUAGGAAUUCAGGAAGACAUGGUGAUUGCAAAGGGAACAUGAGGGGCUUCUAAGUUUCUAGUAAUGUCUGGUUCUUGAUUUGGGUGACACGGGUAUGUUCAUUUUGUGAAAAUCCACUGAGCUCCUCAUCUAUGAUUUGUGCCUUUCCUCUAUAUACUACUUCAAUAAAAUCUUUUAAAACUAAAAAAAGUCAGGAAGAGAAAUCUGAACUUUAUCACUAAGUGCUAAUAGUGGAAAAAAGAAUACAGAGGGUGUUUCACAGCAGUACUUAGAUGUGUCUUAGAUUUUAUCUUCGAACAAAAGAGGCUUGAAUAAACAACCCCCUGAGGAACGGGAUACUGAAAGGAUGAUCAGCAAAGUAAUAAGCGGGAAGGUAAUUAUGCUCAGAAGGUGAUUUCUGAGCCACCUCCCUGCAUGGGGUGCAGCCCACAAGUGGAUGACUAUACAAAGGCAAGGUCUGAAAACUGCUGUGUUUGAUCUCCCUCUAGUAUUAGCCUGCCCUGCACUAUCGUGAUGGAGCCGGAAAGCCAGAGAUGCUACAGAGGUGGCCCUUCUGACACUUACGUGGUAUGACCUUGAGCCAGUCGCCUUAUUCUUUCUGCCUCUCUGGGGCCUCAUCUCUAAAAUGGGGGUGAUGGUUCCUUUCCUGGCACAACAUCGGGUGGUUAUAAACAUUUCAUAGAUAGAAAAGCACCUCCUAAUGUAUUAUUAUUCCCUGGCAAUGGUGCUGCCAAAAAUUUUUUUUUAAAAAAUCCAAAGUCAUUGAUUCAUAUAGUAGCCACACCCAAAGUAAGUACGUGUGAAAUUUUCCGAGAAAAUGUUCAAAUGAACUGAAUUAGAACAGAUCAGAUUAAAAGCCUAUAGUUUGAAAAUAAGGGUUAUUGUAAUGUCUAUAAGGCAUUUCAUUACUGAAAUCUCUUAUUCUUGAAUUCUUUUCGAAUAAAAUAACACGUCUUAAUUCUGCUCACUUUUUCUUUUUCUGGUUUGUUUUUUUUUGUUUUUUUUUGUUUUUUUAGCUGAAAGGAAAAAUCAGUGCUUUAAAGUUAAACAAAGAAGCAGGUCUGCAACUCCAGUCCCCACCCUUUGCAGCCUUUUGUUCUGGGGACAAGCGGUCGUUUCCAAAGGCAGAGGAAGAUGACUGACAAGCAUUUCUUUUUUUUUUGUUUUUUCUAAAAUAAGAUAUUUCAUUUGUCUUUUAUUGGGUGGGGGGUGGGAGCGGGGAACGAGGGCUGCGUGAACGCCCUUUGUCCGCCUCCGGCUGCCGUAGAGACCGCAGUGCGGACUGCACCACGCCCACCCACCGGUGUCUCCAGGCAGAAACGCUUCAGCACCACCCAAGAGAAUACAGCGCGGGUUGGGGCUGCGGAGGGGCCUGGCGACCUCGGUCAAGAGCGAGGAGAGGUCUGGGACGCCGGGGUAAAAGGGAAAGGCAAAGACCACAGCUGCCCACCCGGGGACUUCGAGCGCAACAAAGCUGGGCUGAGGAAGAGAAGAUUGGAUGAGAAUAACAGCAGGAGAACUUUCUUACUGUGUGACUCAGUGCAAAUGAAUGAAUUCCAUGACCACGAACCACCUAAGUCAUCAAGCACUCUUUGACAAACAGAUAUUAUGGGAGAACACAGAUUGGAGAUGCUGAUUGCUGUCGUAUAGCUUUCUAACUUUGGGAAAGGCAACUUUCAUUUUGGGACCAUGAGGCAACACGUUGAAGCUGAGCAGAAAACAAGAAGGCCUGGAUUUUUGGUCUGGUCCCUGAGCUGCGGAACCAAGCCUGCCACUGUCUACCUCCUGACUACUUAGUAGCUCCUGGCAGAAAGUGAUUCCACCCGAGGCAGAUAUUUUUAACAUCAGCCAAGGCUCCCAAGCCUCUCACCUUCUGCCUGGACUACAGUUCCUGUCGGGGCACAUCCAGAUGAUUAAACAUAAACAGAAAGUGUCUGAGGGCUGAAGUACCAAGAAGCACCAGUAGUGAAACUUCAUGGCCAAUGAGCUGAUUUAUGGAACAAGUCCAUUGGAUGCCCUGAAGUUAAUGGGAGAGACAACGAGCUUUUUCACAGAUUAGACUCAACAAUGCACAAUCUUCUUUUAAAAAGUGAAGAAUUCUCCUUUCCAAUGCCCUUUCUGGCCUUACCUCAUAGGUUUUAGGGCUAUUUUUAUCCUGUUUGUAAAGCACCCUUAAAGUUAUUCGUCAGCCUACUAUCUCUUUCAAUAGCUCUCCUACUCUGCAUUUCUCUUCUUGAAAAUGUAAUGUUGUAUUUUGUUUUCUCUUACAAAGAAUCACCUCUACAACUACAAGUUUGUUCUCAUUUUUCAGAAGUCCUAAAAUUGUUAUGUGACAAAACCAAAACAGUUUUCACAUUCUAUGACCUAUUAAUCCUGAUCUUGGGAUAUGGUCCCAAAAUAACUACUCAAUAGAAGGAAAAAAAGGAAGAAAAAAACUGCAUUUAAAAAGAUAUUUAACGGAAAAUAUUGGAAAAUGUUCAGUGAUAAGGUCAAAUAAACUCAUGCUGUAUUUAUAAGAUGAAACAUUACACAACUUUAAAGGAGAAAAGGGAAGACUUUUAUAGAAACAUUUUUAAAUUGCUUAUGAUCAGUGAAAAAUAAAGAAUAGAAAAAAUAUAAUGGUUAUAAUUACAUAGCAAUUAUAUUCAUAAAUGGAAAUAAUCAAAUAAUCAGAAGAGAACAGAGAGAGAAGAAGGGGCACAAUUUCAAUGGAGAUGCUUUAAUAAUAGGCAUGAAUAAAAAAGAUGCUCUCAGUGGCUCCCACCGAGCACUCGCUCUUCCUUCCAACCUUCCCAGCCCAUUCCAGAAUGUUAUAAGAAAAAAAAUGAAUAUUUUUGCAUCAAAUAAUAUUAAACUUUGUAUUUGCUAAAGACUAAA